rnacentral:rRNA from 1 species
CCUACGGGAGGCAGCAGUGGGGAAUAUUGGGCAAUGGAGGCAACUCUGACCCAGCAACGCCGCGUGAAUGAUGAAUGCCCUAUGGGUUGUAAACUUCUUUUAUAAAGGAAUAAAACGAGGCACGUGUGCCUUUUUGCAUGUACUUUAUGAAUAAGGAUCGGCUAACUCCGUGCCAGCAGCCGCGGUAAUACGGAGGAUCCGAGCGUUAUCCGGAUUUAUUGGGUUUAAAGGGAGCGUAGAUGGGUUGUUAAGUCAGUUGUGAAAGUUUGCGGCUCAACCAUAAAAUUGCAAUUGAUACUGGCAGUCUUGAGUACAGUUGAGGUAGGCGGAAUUCGUGGUGUAGCGGGGAAAUGCUUAGAUAUCACGAAGAACCCCGAUUGCGAAGGCAGCUUACUAAACUGUGACUGACAUUGAUGCUCGAAAGUGUGGGUAUCAAACAGGAUUAGAUACCCGGGUAGUC